CUCGACUCCAACUUACCCGAUUUGAGUCACGACUUGUCAAAUGACCAGACAGGAUGUCUGGACAAGGUGAGGUGAGCAUAUGGACGUGCUCUCCGCACCGGUUUGAAAACAAGUUGGGGCUUAAAUUGGAAUAGUAAGUUGAUUG
rfam:Paraglaciecola sp. S66 Contig20, whole genome shotgun sequence.